rnacentral:rRNA from 1 species
UGCAGUCGAACGGUGACGUCGGAGCUUGCUCCGGCUGAUCAGUGGCGAACGGGUGAGUAACACGUGAGCAACCUGCCCUUGGCUCUGGGAUAACCUCGGGAAACCGAAGCUAAUACCGGAUACGACGCAGACAGGCAUCUGUACUGCGUGGAAAGUUCUUCGGCCAAGGAUGGGCUCGCGGCCUAUCAGCUUGUUGGUGGGGUAACGGCCUACCAAGGCGACGACGGGUAGCCGGCCUGAGAGGGCGACCGGCCACACUGGGACUGAGACACGGCCCAGACUCCUACGGGAGGCAGCAGUGGGGAAUAUUGCGCAAUGGGCGAAAGCCUGACGCAGCGACGCCGCGUGAGGGAUGAAGGCCUUCGGGUUGUAAACCUCUUUCAGCAGGGAAGAAGCGAAAGUGACGGUACCUGCAGAAGAAGCACCGGCUAACUACGUGCCAGCAGCCGCGGUAAUACGUAGGGUGCAAGCGUUGUCCGGAAUUAUUGGGCGUAAAGAGCUCGUAGGCGGUCUGUCGCGUCUGCUGUGAAAACCCAGGGCUUAACCCUGGGCCUGCAGUGGGUACGGGCAGACUAGAGUGCGGUAGGGGAGAUCGGAAUUCCUGGUGUAGCGGUGAAAUGCGCAGAUAUCAGGAGGAACACCGGUGGCGAAGGCGGAUCUCUGGGCCGUAACUGACGCUGAGGAGCGAAAGCAUGGGGAGCGAACAGGAUUAGAUACCCUGGUAGUCCAUGCCGUAAACGUUGGGCGCUAGGUGUGGGGCUCAUUCCACGAGUUCUGUGCCGCAGCAAACGCAUU